rnacentral:rRNA from 1 species
GUCCAAGCCGUAAACGAUGAACACUUGGCAGGGGGGAUUCCUAUGUCCUCCCUGCUGGAGCUAAUGCGUUAAGUGUUCCGCCUGGGGAGUACAGUCGCAAGGCCGAAACUCAAAGGAAUUGACGGGGGCUCACACAAGCGGUGGAGCAUGUGGUUUAAUUCGAAGCAACGCGCAAAACCUUACCUGGGUUUGACAUGCACGGAUUAGUUCCUGGAAACAGGGAUGACGCUCGCAAGAGUGGAACGUGCACAGGUGCUGCAUGGCUGUCGU